rnacentral:SRP_RNA from 1 species
CCGUGCUAGGCGGGGAGCCAGCGGUGCCCUGUACCCGCAAUCCGCUCUAGCGGGGCUGAAUCCCCGUCCGAGGCCCGGAUGGUCCGGGGCAGCUCUCGGCACGGAGCGUUGAAGGUCGGGCCCUGCGCGACGCCAACCUGCGAACCCGGUCAGGUCCGGAAGGAAGCAGCCGUAAGCGGGCGCUGGCGGGUGCCGCAGGCUCGCCUGGCCGGAGCUCCCGUGCGAGGAGGCGCUCGAGUCGUCCGCCGUCGACGGCGGGUGCACGG